AGAGAUCUUCUCGGCGUUGGAUGCGACGAUGUACCGCCCAGAGUCGGCGUGGAUCAGCGAGGCCUCCGCCCGCGAGAACGCGGCCCUCACCCGGGCCCUCCAGAUCUCCCUCUCCGACACCACCACCACCACCUCCUCCUCCGCCUCCGCCGACACUCUCUCCUCCCCUCUCCUCCUCUUCAACCAACAGUUCAUUCCCCCCUCUUCCUCCUCCUCCUCCUCCUCCUCCGCCGCCGCCGCCGCAGACGCAAUCCUCCACCGGCGGGGCGCCCUCGGCCCCGCCCCCGCGGGGCGGGUCUCGAAGCGGAAGUCGCGCGCAUCGAAGCGGUCUACCACCACGUACAUCGACGCCGACCCCGCCAACUUCCGGGAGUUGGUGCAGCGGGUGACGGGGGCCCGGCUCGAAGGUGAUCCGGCCAUGCCGCAACUGAUGAGACCCGAACUGGUGCGGCCGGCGGUGGGCGCCCGAGCGGAUCCGCAGCAGAUCUGCCUGCCCACACUCGACACGUCGGCGUUUUUGCUGGACACUGGCGCGGU
rnacentral:lncRNA from 1 species